CACCCUGCAUGCUGCAGCCAGGCAGGCUGCAAGGCCUAAGCCUCGGGGAGUGGAUACUGGAUAGGGUAAGGGGAGCAGCCUGGAUCCUCUCCUCCUUUCUCUGAUGCAUCCUCAGCCAGGGCUGCAUUUCUCUAGCUCACCUGAGAUACUCUUGCAAGAAAGAGCUUGGUUGACUCCUCCUGUUUCUGUUUAUCUCGAAGGCUCUGCAGCAAUUUUCCCAAACUGAACAGCAAGAGGGAGACCUCAAAGAGGCGACUCUCUUCCUAGCUGCAUCUCCUUCCUAAUCCUCUGGGUGCCUUGGAAUAGAAGCUCAGAAGGAAGAAAACGACAUUUUCAACUUUCAGGAACUAGCUCUGUCGCCCUCUGCACAGCUCGGGAGACAGCACUCUCAGCCUUUUAGGACUCCAUCCAAAAAUCCUUCAGCCCUCCAUGUUCCCCAAAAUGACAGUGCUCAUGUGUGGCUGGAACCUGCCCCGAUCCGGCAGCUCAUUUAAAUAGAGCUCAUCACAACAACAGUGUUGGUGGUGAAGUGAGUAGCUGCAGGGCCCUGGGGACCCCCUGUUUAUACGUAGGAAGAAUGAUGCAAUCUGGGUAUCAAAAUAGCAAUCCAGAAUGGAAUAACAGGCUCACGCAGCAGCGGUGCCUGCACAGCCAGAGCUCAAGUUGACACACUCUGUCAGCCCCACACUGCUGCAGCACGCAGAUGCCAGGCACACACUCUCACCGCAUCAUUUUAAAAAACAGCAGGAGCCCAAGAUAUCCCUCCAUGCCCCCGGCACUGAAGGAGGGUGUGGGGGGGGGCCUUCAACAGACAUUGAAAUCUGUCUCCUACAUACUCACCUGCUCCUGCCACUUCACCUGAAGUCCUUAUCCUGUGACGUCACAGUCAGUUGCCAUAGUGACCAAUUGUCCGUCACAAGCAGAGGAUUAGGACUUCGGAUGGAGAAGACACACAUUUAUGAUGCACAAAGGUCCUGGGAGGUCUCCCUUGGCAGCUAACUCUACCCACCAGGAAGAUCCAGUCACACACAAGCAGGGAGGGAAAAAGGGAAGGAUGAACAGGGUUGACUGGAGGAGACAUUAGGAUGGGGCAAGACUAUAAGUACAGCAUAAUUUCAAAAGCACAGAGCAACCAGAUGAGGGGGAGUGGCAGGGAUGUGCUUGGAAAGACCGGCAGGAGAGUAAGCUCCUGAAGGGACCUGAAUGCUAAGCUCAGGAGCUUGACCUUCAUCCUAAAAUAAAAGGCAGCCCAAAAAGUUUCUGGAGAGUGACUGAGCUGGGCUUUAUGAUUAUCUUGAUGGACUGAACACAGGGAGGUCAGGGUAGUUGAGCAUUAAUGGGACCCUAAAUAAGGGUAAAAAUGGAAAAAAGCAAAAGAAGACUCAUUUCAAAGAGAACUGACAGGACACAAGCAAAUUAGGAUGUUGGGGCUAGUGGUGGUGUGUGAAGAACAAGGAAUCAAGUGGAGGGGCUGUCAUGAACAGAGAGACAGGGCCUUACUAUGUUGCCCAGGCUGGUGCUGAACUCCUGACCUCAGGAUAUGUGACCAUAUUCCACUGAUCAAAAACCUUCGAUGGCUCCACUGUCCACAGAAUAGCUUAAUCAAGAUCCUUCACAAUUUGGCCCUAAAUUUCCUUUCUGAACAGAAUCCCCACUUCUCUCCUUCAAGCAUCCCAUACUCCAGCCAAAAUUAACUCCCUCCUGUUUCUAAUAUUUGCCUUCCCCUCCCCUGCGUGUGCCUCAUCCUAACACUAUUCCCUACCUGGGAGUCCCUUGCACAUUUUUCUGACUCUGCCUGGUUCCUCCACAGCUAUUCCUACUUGGUGUCACCUACAGAUUCAAACCACCCAAUUUCCCCAGACAGAACCUAAAACAGGGGUCAGAAAACCAUAGACUGCCUGUUCUUGUAAAUAAAGAAUACAGUAAUGCCCAUUCAUUUCCAUAUUGUCUAUGGCUGC
rnacentral:lncRNA from 1 species